rnacentral:rRNA from 1 species
AUUGAACGCUGGCGGCAGGCCUAACACAUGCAAGUCGAACGGUAACAGGAAGAAGCUUGCUUCUUUGCUGACGAGUGGCGGACGGGUGAGUAAUGUCUGGGAAACUGCCUGAUGGAGGGGGAUAACUACUGGAAACGGUAGCUAAUACCGCAUAACGUCGCAAGACCAAAGAGGGGGACCUUCGGGCCUCUUGCCAUCGGAUGUGCCCCGAUGGGAUUAGCUAGUAGGUGGGGUAACGGCUCACCUAGGCGACGAUCCCUAGCUGGUCUGAGAGGAUGACCAGCCAGACGGGAACUGAGACAGGGUAGAGACACCUACGGGAGGCAGCAGUGGGGAAUAUUGCGCAAUGGGGGAAAGCCUGAUGCAGCCAUGCCGCGUGUAUGAAGAAGGCGUUCGGGUUGGAAAGUACUUUCAGCGGGGAGGAAGGGAGUAAAGUUAAUACCUGAGCUCAUUGACGUUACCCGCAGAAGAAGCACCGGCUAACUCCGUG